rnacentral:rRNA from 1 species
GCUUGACUGUAGCUUGUAAUUGGGUUCGGGCUUUUUUUGCGCAGCCUAGGUGGGGAGGCAACGAUGAUUUUUUUUCCGGAAAAAUUUAAGCCGUAGUGAGAGACCACUCUGAAAAGGCUAGAAUGCCUACAUACAUGCAUCCUUGAAUCAGGACAUUUUGACAGUUGCAGGUGGGCAGUUUUACUGGGCGCGGUAUUCUCCUAAAAAGUAAACGGAGGGGGUGCAAAGGUUCCCUCAAGCUGGACGGAAAAUCAGCUUAAGAGUGCUACCAACGGCAAAAGGGAGCUUGACUGCAAGACCUACAAGUCGAGCCAGGGGCGAAAGCCGGCCUUAGUGAUCCGACGGUACCACGUGGAAGGGCCGUCGCUCAACGGAUAAAAGUUA